rnacentral:tRNA from 1 species
GUGAAAGUAGCUCAGAUGGUUAGAGCACUGGAUUGUGGAUCCAGGGGUCGGGGGUUCGAGUCCCCUCUUUCACCC